rnacentral:tRNA from 1 species
AAUGAAGUGCCUGAAAAAGGAUUAUCUUGAUAGGGUAAAACAUGUAAGUAAAAUCUUACCUUCAUUGCCCCC